rnacentral:rRNA from 1 species
AUUGAACGCUGGCGGCGUGCUUAACACAUGCAAGUCGAUCGGUAACAGGUGUAGCAAUACAUGCUGACGAGAGGCGGACGGGUGAGUAAUGCUUGGGAAUCUGCCUAUUAGUGGGGGACAACCCGGGGAAACGUCGGGCUAAUACCGCAUACGCUCUACGGAGGAAAGCCGGGACCGCAAGGCCUGGCGCUCAUAGAUGAGCCCAAGUCGGAUUAGCUA